UACGUAGGGGGGCUAGCGUUGUCCGGAAUCAUUGGGCGUAAAGCGCGCGUAGGCGGCCCGGUAAGUCCGCUGUAAAAGUCAAAGGCUCAACCUUUGAAUGUCAGUGGAUACUGCCGGGCUAGAGUCCGGAAGAGGCGAGUGGAACUCCUGGUGUAGCGGUGGAAUGCGCAGAUAUCAGGAAGAACACCGACGGCGAAGGCAGCUCGCUGGGACGGUACUGACGCUGAGGCGCGAAAAGCGUGGGGGAGCGAACAGG
rnacentral:rRNA from 1 species